ACUAUUUUGACAGAUUAAUGUAAUAAAUUUAGAAUUUAUUUAAGUAUAUUUUUAAUAUAUACAUUUAGUA
rnacentral:tRNA from 1 species